GGAUCUGGGAUGCGGAGAGCCCUGCAACACCUCGCUGGAGCCCGGCGAGGCCUCUGGGCUCCUGGAGCGAGGUGGGCGCCCCAGGCCGCGGUCAUGCGUAGCCGGGACAGCGGUGGCGACCGGGUCCUGCUCCUUCCCGGCCGGCCGGACUGACGCGGCCUCCCAGGACCCGAGCACGUGCGUGAUGGGCGAGGAGGGCCUAGGCCGGGCCCACCAGUUCUUCCCGCCUCACCGUAGACACGGGAGAGAGAUGGCCUCUCCUUAAGCCCGGGAGAACAGAGGAAACAUUAGGAAACACGUACUGAGAAACGAAAUUGGCUUGAUUUGUAGUUCACUUAUUUGUAGGUCACUGACAGAGGACCGUAAACCUCGUAGUAAAGGCCCCUCUAAAUUUAGAGAGAAGGGGCGUCUCACUACGUUGCCUAGGCUGAUCUCGACCUCCUGGACUCACAUGAUCCGCCCACCUCGGCCUCCCCAAAGUGCUGAGAUUGCAGGUGUGAGCCGCCAUACCCGGCCGUGAUAAAACUCAUCAGUGCUUUGAAACGAGCAGCUCUGAACCAAAGGAAUCAUUUGAUUCAAGUAACCAUUGGAUCUUCCCAAGGCAAUGGUGAAAGAAAAGAAAAAAGCAGACAAAAGAGGGG